GCACAAGCAGCGGAGCGUGUGGUUUAAUUCGAUGUUACACGAAGAACCUUACCAGGGUUUGACAUGCAAGUGGUAGGAAGCCGAAAGGUGACCGACCCUUCGGGGAGCUUGCACAGGUGCUGCAUGGCUGUCGUCAGCUCGUGUCGUGAGAUGUUCGGUUAAGUCCGCUAACGAGCGCAACCCUCGCUGUGUGUUAUAUGUGUCACACGGGACUGCCGGUCUUAAGCCGGAGGAAGGUGGGGAUGAUGUCAAGUCAGCAUGGCCUUUAUAUCCUGGGCUACACACACGCUACAAUGGCCAACACAAUAGGUUGCUAAGCCGCGAGGUGGCGCCAAUCCAUAAAGCUGGUCUCAGUUCAGAUUGUAGGCUGCAACCCGCCUGCAUGAAGAUGGAGUUGCUAGUAACCGCAGGUCAGCUAUACUGCGGUGAAUACGUUCCCGGGGCUU
rnacentral:rRNA from 1 species